rnacentral:rRNA from 1 species
AGAGUUUGAUCAUGGCUCAGAUUGAACGCUGGCGGCAGGCCUAACACAUGCAAGUCGAACGGUAACAGGAAGCAGCUUGCUGCUUCGCUGACGAGUGGCGGACGGGUGAGUAAUGUCUGGGAAACUGCCUGAUGGAGGGGGAUAACUACUGGAAACGGUAGCUAAUACCGCAUAAUGUCGCAAGACCAAAGAGGGGGACCUUCGGGCCUCUUGCCAUCGGAUGUGCCCAGAUGGGAUUAGCUUGUUGGUGGGGUAACGGCUCACCAAGGCGACGAUCCCUAGCUGGUCUGAGAGGAUGACCAGCCACACUGGAACUGAGACACGGUCCAGACUCCUACGGGAGGCAGCAGUGGGGAAUAUUGCACAAUGGGCGCAAGCCUGAUGCAGCCAUGCCGCGUGUAUGAAGAAGGCCUUCGGGUUGUAAAGUACUUUCAGCGGGGAGGAAGGGAGUAAAGUUAAUACCUUUACUCAUUGACGUUACCCGCAGAAGAAGCACCGGCUAACUCCGUGCCAGCAGCCGCGGUAAUACGGAGGGUGCAAGCGUUAAUCGGAAUUACUGGGCGUAAAGCGCACGCAGGCGGUUUGUUAAGUCAGAUGUGAAAUCCCCGGGCUCAACCUGGGAACUGCAUCUGAUACUGGCAAGCUUGAGUCUCGUAGAGGGGGGUAGAAUUCCAGGUGUAGCGGUGAAAUGCGUAGAGAUCUGGAGGAAUACCGGUGGCGAAGGCGGCCCCCUGGACGAAGACUGACGCUCAGGUGCGAAAGCGUGGGGAGCAAACAGGAUUAGAUACCCUGGUAGUCCACGCCGUAAACGAUGUCGACUUGGAGGUUGUGCCCUUGAGGCGUGGCUUCCGGAGCUAACGCGUUAAGUCGACCGCCUGGGGAGUACGGCCGCAAGGUUAAAACUCAAAUGAAUUGACGGGGGCCCGCACAAGCGGUGGAGCAUGUGGUUUAAUUCGAUGCAACGCGAAGAACCUUACCUGGUCUUGACAUCCACGGAAGUUUUCAGAGAUGAGAAUGUGCCUUCGGGAACCGUGAGACAGGUGCUGCAUGGCUGUCGUCAGCUCGUGUUGUGAAAUGUUGGGUUAAGUCCCGCAACGAGCGCAACCCUUAUCCUUUGUUGCCAGCGGUCCGGCCGGGAACUCAAAGGAGACUGCCAGUGAUAAACUGGAGGAAGGUGGGGAUGACGUCAAGUCAUCAUGGCCCUUACGACCAGGGCUACACACGUGCUACAAUGGCGCAUACAAAGAGAAGCGACCUCGCGAGAGCAAGCGGACCUCAUAAAGUGCGUCGUAGUCCGGAUUGGAGUCUGCAACUCGACUCCAUGAAGUCGGAAUCGCUAGUAAUCGUGGAUCAGAAUGCCACGGUGAAUACGUUCCCGGGCCUUGUACACACCGCCCGUCACACCAUGGGAGUGGGUUGCAAAAGAAGUAGGUAGCUUAACCUUCGGGAGGGCGCUUACCACUUUGUGAUUCAUGACUGGGGUGAAGUCGUAACAAGGUAACCGUAGGGGAACCUGCGGUUGGAUCACCU